UGGCCAUGAGUGAUGGGUGUGGCGGCCAAUGGACUAUCGAGAUAAGGGUUAAGAGGGGGCUCGGGAGUGUCCAGGGCCGCCUGGCGAGAGGCGAUGCGCUCAAACACACACGGGGAGGGGCGGUUCUGAUUGUGAGUGACAGGAUAAAGCCUUACCUGAAACAACACGGACCAGAUCUGCAGCUGGUGGGAUGAAAAGAUGGAGAUUGGAAAACAUCCUUGUCCUGGGAAUAUUGUGCAGCGAAAGGAGAGGAAAAAAACAAGUCCAGAGAACACAGGAGUCACCACUUCUGCAGAGAGAGUGAACUAAUCUUAUUUUAAAGCUUUUGAAUAGAAUAAACUGUUCAGACCAAAGCGUAACGGGGAGAAAGCGUGAAAUAACAUUUGAGGAUGAAAGUGGAACCGGAGGGGAGGAAAAAAAACAACUACAAAGCCAGGUGGCUGCUUGCUGCGAACACUUUUAUUUAUUAAUAAACACAACACACUCCAAACAUUUGGCUGCUUGACAGAAUCCUCAAAAGUCUUGGAAAGGGAUCAAAGUUCUGCUGCUCUGCCGGGUGCACAACUCAGGGAAUAACGGUGCCUUUAUGGACUCCCUCCUGUGCCAACAGGAGGUGGAUUUGUCCCCGAGGGUGGCGUUGGGGACACUUUGGUGCUGCUGUCUGAGGUGCUGAAGCUGCAGAUCCCCCAGAAGGAACUGGAAAAGCAGCUGGAGAAACCAAACUGGUUGUUACUGGUGCUGUGUUUGAACUGGACGCUGAGAUUCUCUUUAUACCAGUGCAGAGCAGAGGCAUUUGAAUUUCGGGGUAAUUCUGCUCCACUGCAGCUGGAAGCUCUGGGGGUGACUUUUAAGGGUAAAAUGGAUCCACACCCAGGCUCCAGAGCUCUCAGACUGGAUUUUUUUGUGUGUUUUGUGCGAGUUUUCUCCCUCAAAUCCGGGCUGCUGCGGAGGGAAGGCGCCGUGACUCACUGGGCUGGACUGUGCAGCCAACAUGGAAUUGAAAAAGGCAAAAGCUGGCACAAUUCCCUGCAAACAGUGCUGAGUUUCCCAUUUCCCUGCAGAUCACAAGCUGGAAUUCACAGGCCAGAACCACAAGAAGAGAAGAAAUGCGAGUGAAUUAAUAUUUCAAACGAUGUUUUCUGCUCCCAGGAGGUGAAAAUGUGCAGGUUUAAUUGUGGGUAUAGAAAUAUUCCCAGAAAAAGUCACGAGGAUGUAACUCCAUGAAGGAAAAGGAGGAGAAGAUUUUGGGCCAAAAUCCAGGGAUUUGGAAUGAAGAAAGUUCUUAGAAAUUAAGGAUGGUGAGUGACAUUAAAAGAUAACAGAUAAUAAAAGAGUACAGAUAAUAAAAGAAAACAGCAGGAGAUGGAAAGCAGGAAAUGAAACUUGGUGCUCCAAACCAGCUCCAAAUGGACACUAAAAAUAAAUUAAAUAAAAAUAAAAAGAUAAAAAAUCCAAUAGAUUGGAAUUUAAUAUAUAAAUUAAGGAUUAAAAAUUCCGUGUUUCAGCAGGAAACUUGAAAUCCUUCCCUCCAAAAAUGUGUUAAAACUCCCUUUCCUUGGAAAGAGCUGAAACAGGAUCUGGACUCAAGGAAUUAAUGUAGGGAAAAAAAAGCUUUUUAUGGACAGAACUUGUGGCUUUUGUAGGUUUUUAGCUGCAGAAUCACCACAUGAAAUUAAAACUCACUGUGAAAAAGACAAGAGUUUCCCAAAAUCCAAGGGAAAAACCUCUGGAAUUCCUGGAUUUAUUGGAGGAGAUCUUUGGGAGGAUCUGCUCCCUGUUAAAGCAGCCCCUGCAAAGAGCAGAGCUCUUCAAAAUCCUCAAUUUCCAAAGGGGCAUCCACAGCUCUUGGGGAAAAAAAUAAAAUAAAAAUGGGAUUUCUCCAAAGCAGAUGUUGUUGGAGCUGAGCUUAAAAACAAAAUUUGGAGCUCUUGAUGGGCUCCAAAGUGUUUGUUGGGAUUCCUGGCAGCUUUCCUGGGCAGAUGGAGGUGAUUGUGGAGUAAUGGAAAAUGCAGGCUUCCCACGGGGCUGGGAUGUCUGUGUGGAGCUGGUGAUCCUCCCCAAAAAGAGAGGAAAACGGGGAAUUUUCAGGUUAUCCCUUGGAAAUCUGGGAAUUUGUGGACUUCCAGCAGGUUUUUGCUGUGGUGAAAUCAGCUGAUUCCUCCUCAGGUUGUUGCUGAUCCAGGUUUUUAGUAUGGAAUUGAGAUUUAAUUAUUUUUAUUUUUUUUUUUUAAGUUUGGUUUUUAAUCUUGGGGCAGGCAGAACACCCAGAGUUAAACCUGAGGUUUCAAAGGAAAAAAAAAAUCACUUAAAAAUCAGGAAUUUUGGAGUCCCACCCUGGCUUUUUCCAUGCUUUUGGUGUAAAGGAAUAACACAUUUACAUUCCCUGCAGAGAAAAGAAAUCCUCCCAAGGAAAUCCUUCUUUCCUGCUGUGGGAGAAAUCUUAAUUGGGCUCUUAAUGAUGAAAUAAUGGAAGGAAUGGAUAAUUGGGGUCUGGCUGAGUGUCCCAACACCUGCAAGGUGUGUUUGGCCACACCAGGACUUCCAGGAGGGCUCCAGGACCAAACACCCUCACCCAAAAAACCCAGAAAACGGGAAAAUUCCAUUUCCUCCCCUCCAUCCCUGAAGUCUUUUCCUUUUCAGUCCAUUUUGAUGUUAAAUUUGCCAGCUUGGCCUUAUCUUCUCCUUGCAAAUACUCCAAGUUUGGAAAACAAGGAGUGUAAAAGUCAUUUAUGCUCCCGCAGCUGGAGGAAAAGCCGGUGAUGUUUUCAUCGAGCUGAGGCUUCUUUUUCAUUUAUUCUUGAAUAAAAAUCAAACAGAACCGGGGGAACCCAAAAGCUUUGGGUGUUGCAGUUGUUUUGCCUCGCGAGGAGCUGUGUUUGUCACGUCCUGGGGGAUGGUUUUAGGAAGGCCAAGGAAUGUUUUCCUUGCGGAAUUUUGUGGAUUUCAGGAGGAGCCCAGCCAGGGCUGCCCUCAGGCCCAGUGAAUGGUCCCAGUGUAAUUUCGUGAGGCCUUCCCAGAAGUCAGGAGUUCCUUGGGAACAAACCCAGGAAUGUCAUCAAAGAGCCUGGGGCGAGAUCAAGGGGGCUGUGGGCUCCUGGAUUUUCCCACAUUCCCAAAGGGGAACAUUCCCAUCCCACCAUGGCACCAACACCCUCAAACAGAGAGAUCCUUAAACUCUGCUCUCCCCCUCCGUGCUGGGGAGGUCCCCCCUCAUCCCACCCAUGCUCAGGAGGAACAUCCUUUGGAUGAAAUCCAAAUUUCCUUUGGAGGAAAUUCCUUUGCCAGGGAUUUUUCACUUUUCCCUUCUCCCAUGUGGUUCCAUGGGAAGGAUCCUCCCACCCCAAAGUGCUGCUGGGUCCCAUCACGGCCUCAGAUCAUGAUGGAAACACCUCAGGACCUUCCCUGGCUGCUCUCCCUGGCUGCCCUGGGCUCCUCUGUGUGUGUUCCCACCGGGAAAGGCCAGCUGGACAGGGAACAACCACCGGGAAGGGCCUGGAAGAGCCACGGGAAUUCAGAGAUAAGGAGAUUUUCCACGCUGUUCCCUCCAGAAUCACCAGCAGGGUCAGUUAGGAAGUUACCUCUGUUUUGAACCUGUGAAUACACAUAGACUUUCCUCCAAAUUAUUAAUUGAAAUGACUUUUUAAUCUUCUUGCUUCCAAACCUUUGACCAGAACCAAGAAUCCUCUCUCAGCUUUGCUUGAGUACUGUUAGAAGAAUAGCUGGUAAUUGAUGGAACUGGCUUGGUUAAAGACUUGUUUAAAAUGGGCUGUUCAAGAAUUAUUUGUAAUAGAUAUACAAUCUCUGUGUUUUUUCCAAAAUCUAAAAUACAUACAUCGUGUUUCCAUGCUUCUGAACUGCAACCUCUGUUUCCUCCCCCUCUCUUGUAAACAAAGGUAAAACAUCUGCUGUCUUGUUCUGACAACGAAAAACCAUCAAAGUAAAACACAGGCAUAUGUAUACAUACAGGAAAUAACAUUUUUACAGAAAUCAAAAACUUAUUA